rnacentral:rRNA from 1 species
GACGAACGCUGGCGGCGUGCUUAACACAUGCAAGUCGAGCGAGCGGCGGACGGGUGAGUAAUGUAUGGGGACUGCCCGAUAGAGGGGGCUAACUACUGGAAACGGUGGCUAAUACCGCAUACUGGCGGAUAACCCAUAUGGGAUUAGCUAGUAGGUCAGGUAAUGGCUUACCUAGGCGACGAUCCCUAGAUGGUCUGAGAGGCUGAUCAGCCACACUUGGACUGAGACACGGCCCAGACUCCUACGGAGGCAGCAGUGGGGAAUAUUGCACAAUGGGCGCAAGCCUGAUGCAGCCAUGCCGCGUGUAUGAAGAAGGCCCUAGGGUUGUAAAGUAUUGUCAGUCGGGAGGCGUUACCGACAGAAGAAGCACCGGCUAACUCCGUGCCAGCAGCCGCGGUAAUUC